rnacentral:rRNA from 1 species
GGGGCCCGCACAAGCGGCGGAGCAUGUGGAUUAAUUCGAUGCAACGCGAAGAACCUUACCUGGGUUUUGACAUGCACAGGACGACUGCAGAGAUGUGGUUCCCUUGUGGCCUGUGUGCAGGUGGUGCAUGGCUGUCGUCAGCUCGUGUCGUGAGAUGUUGGGUUAAGUCCCGCAACGAGCGCAACCCUUGUCUCAUGUUGCCAGCACGUAAUGGUGGGGACUCGUGAGAGACUGCCGGGGUCAACUCGGAGGAAGGUGGGGAUGACGUCAAGUCAUCAUGCCCCUUAUGUCCAGGGCUUCACACAUGCUACAAUGGCCGGUACAAAGGGCUGCGAUGCCGUGAGGUGGAGCGAAUCCUUGUUAAAGCCGGUCUCAGUUCGGAUCGGGGUCUGCAACUCGACCCCGUGAAGUCGGAGUCGCUAGUAAUCGCAGAUCAGCAACGCUGCGGUGAAUACGUUCCCGGGCCUU